AGCGAACGCUGGCGGCAGGCUUAACACAUGCAAGUCGAACGGGCAUAGCAAUAUGUCCGUGGCAGACGGGUGAGUAACGCGGGGGAACGUACCGUUGGGUUCGGAACAACACAGGGAAACUUGUGCUAAUACCGGAUAAGCCCUUACGGGGAAAGAUUUAUCGCCGAAAGAUCGGCCCGCGUCUGAUUAGCUAGUUGGUAGGGUAAUGGCCUACCAAGGCGACGAUCAGUAGCUGGUCUGGGAGGAUGAUCGGCCACAUUGGGACUGAGCCACGGCCCACACUCCUACGGGAGGCAGCAGUGGGGAAUAUUGGACAAUGGGCGAAAGCCUGAUCCAGCCAUGCCGCGUGAGUGAUGAAGGCCCUAGGGUUGUAAAGCUCUUUUGUGCGGGAAGAUAAUGACGGUACCGCAAGAAUAAGCCCCGGCUAACUUCGUG
rnacentral:rRNA from 1 species